AUCUCCGCCUCCCAAGUUGGAACAUGAGAAAAAAGACCAAUGGUCGCAAUAUCAGCAUAUUUGAGCCUGUAGGUGUCCCCUACAAUAUAAAGGAUACCUGCUUUAAACAGUCAUAUCUACCCAAGUUUUUAUGUAGAUAUAUAUAUAUAUAUAUAUAUAUAUCUCUAAGGAGACAUUGGGACCACUCACCACAGACAAAGAAGGCUUCUGAAGAAGGGAACUCUGGGAACAUUCGGAACGGAGAUGGAAACGGGGAACUGGAGUCAGGAGACAGGAGAACUAUGGGAACGAGAAGGGGGGAUCGGGGGUAUUAAAAAACAAAAUAAAUCUUACUUAAUUAUUCAUUUAACAUCUAGGACACAAUUUUCGUGCCCAACAGCAUGGGUUUCCUUUCAUAUAUAUAUAUAUAUAUAUAUAUUUAUCUAGACAUAUACAUAUGUGUUGAUAGCUACUAUGAAUGAGCUCAUGGAUUUAAAAUUAAUUCCAAGAUAUCACCAUUAUUUUGAAGUCCAGAUGAUUUGAAAAUGUUGCAUUUGGAGAACCCAAUUAAAUAUUGAGGUUGUAAAGUCAACAAGGGUUCAAAGCUCAACAAAUACAGGAUGUGUGUUGUUUUCAGUCCUCUUCUUCAUUAUGAUUAUGGAUUCAUAUUUCAAACCAAUCAAUCAAUCAAUCCUGCUCCAUAUAUCCUUAUCAAAGUACUUUGGUUGCUGAAAUUAUGGAUUCAAAAUGAAAACAUGUGGACACACCUUUUACAUAAUGUUUGUUUGUAAAGUGAAAACAGAACGAGAAAAAAUUCCUUAGCAAGUUUCGCAUAGAAUUAUGUAAGACUUCUUUGUCAUUCAAUAAAUUAUAUGUUUUUUAUAGUAGAAAAUAAUCAUAGCCAUUGGAUGGUCAUUGGUUGGUUGUAUUAAAAAGCCAAGACAUUUACUUGUCUGUAUUUUUUAAAUAAAACUUUUAUUAUCUUAUAAUUGUUUUAAACUAUGAUUUGCUCUUUACAAUCAUGCAUGUUAGAUAUUUUCUUUAUGUUAUAAUGAUUUUUCCCAAUGCACACUUUUUUACAGUAUCCUUUUAAAUCAAUUAAUUCAAAGUUCACUUGCAUGUACUUGUGCACAUAUAGAAUGUAACAUAAAGCAUUAAGAUAACAUUUUUCAUUUAUUUUCAACAACUCCAACCAUUUUACUUACAUAUAGAACCACUUUGAGUUUGGAGCUUUGAUUCAUAUUUUGAUUUUAGUAAUAUGUAAUCUUACAUCAAACCAUGUGGAUACAGUGUUCAAAUUUGCUUAGAAACAAAUGG
rnacentral:lncRNA from 1 species